rnacentral:rRNA from 1 species
CCCUUAGAUGUUCUGGGCCGCACGCGCGCUACACUGAUGCAUUCAACGAGCCUAUCCUUGACCGACAGGUCCGGGUAAUCUUUGAAUCUGCAUCGUGACGGGGAUAGAUUAUUGCAAUUAUUAAUCUUCAACGAGGAAUGCCUAGUAGGCGCAAGUCAUCAGCUUGCGUCGAUUACGUCCCUGCCCUUUGUACACACCGCCCGUCGCUCCUACCGAUUGGGUGUUCUGGUGAAAUGUUCGGAUCGGCCGUUUGUCGCGGUUUCCGCGUCAUGUGGCUGAGAAGUUCAUUAAACCCUCCCACCGAGAGGAAGGAGAAGUCGUAACA